UUUGCUGAGUCUUUUAUUUCUCGCUUCGGUUGUGUUGAAGUGAGAGCUGUGAGCUCUUAGGGUUGCUUCAACUCAGCCCGAGUCCCGUCCUUGGAGGUGUUCAAGACCAGAUACAGAGGAAACAAAUCCAGAUUCCCUCCCUUUGUUUCUCUUUGCGAGUGGAAAAGAAGACUUCAUAAAGCACACGAGGGCUCAUCUUCGCCGUCCAAAUGUUUAAAGGGGUGACUUAAUGGCUCAAAUAUUAUAUUCUAGAAAGACCCUGAGUUAAACAGCAGCGAAAUGACUGUGUCAAAGAGCAAAGUGACAGUGCUGUUACAGGCCCUCUGCCUCCCAGGCCACAGCUGCACCUAUUGGCUUCAUUGUCCCAUCCCUCCUACGCACAUGCAUGCCUGGCGUUGUUUUGGAAAUACAGCAGAAACUUGAUAAUUCAAACUGAUGACCGGGGGAGCCACUUGUGGAAUUAAUUUAUCGGGACCUCGAUAUUGUUCGCUAUACUUUGUCAUGUGAGGCUGUAAAUCCCUUCGAGUGAGGUGGGAUUUUAGAUUUACAAACUGUUCCUAAGUGAUUACACACAUACUGCGAAGGAAAAGACUGUCCAGUAGCCAAGUGAGGGCAGAACUCAGGACGCUGAACUCAUUAAGAUUCCAGAGCAACCGGAAUUACUAAUAUGGAAUACGCUACGGAGAAAAAUAAUUGUUUUAUUUGUUUAAAGUACCAUAUUGAUGUUAAAUAAGCAAUAUUCAUAUGUCAUUGUAUGUACAGUAGCCCAAGUGAACUUAGCAGCCUGUCUGAAGCAUCAGGCUAUUGCAGAAAGUCUGUGUGAGCCAUUACGGUAUUAAGAACAAAACAUAAACAAUACAGUGCCUCAAACUGGCAGCUUUUAGUACACUUUGGGUGUUUACCCUUCCAUAGUCUUGCUGACCCUUGGUCUUUGAUUUCAGAGCAACACAAACAAAACAAAAUCAAUUUCUUUAAUUUUGAUGAGCAGCAAAUACUGCGAGGAAUCAUUGCGUGAUCGUGAAGCAAAAAAGAAUUGCUGUUGUUGACAGGAUUUCACAACCGGAGGGUGAAUUUGGAAGCUCGGAGUUGCUUUGUGAAGUCUCACACCUUGUGGCCUGAGUAGAACUCUCCACAAUGAGUUCAGGAUGUAGGUUGUUCUGUUGCUAUCGACAGCACCGAAUACCAGAUGCCGCUAUGAUUGUUACAGAUACUUGCAAAAGGUGGUCCAAGAAAUAAGAACAUGUAAACAUCUGUAAUCAAAUGUUACCAUGAAGGAAAGUUCUGAGUUUGAUUUUUUGCUGUUUAUUGGAAUAAAAAAUCAUUCCCUCAAAUUUUCCUUUUUUUUCUUUAAGUGAAAUAUGGAAUUGAACUCAAUUGUUGCUUCUUAUAUUUUCAUGGAAGAAAAAUACUGGAGACUGAGUACUUUGUUACUGAUUUUGGUUUCUGGCUUAAGACGUGGGACCCCGGAGCUCUCUGCUCUGCCACAAAUAGCAUAUUUGGCUUUAGGGAAAAUUGCUCUUUGUUUCCCAUCUGUGUAACAGGAAUAAUAUUCAUGCGCUGUCACCGCAAAUAGUUGUGAAGGUAUACACUCAGAGAACUCUGAAAUGAUGUUGUUAUGGUUAUAUAUAAUAUCACAAGUAAUAAUUUGGGAUACUAGGUGCCAAUUAUUCUGUUGGCUAUUUGGUUUGACAGUAAAUGCCAGUGUUAGUAACUUCAUAAACUUCAGCGUUGUUAUUCUGGGUUUGCAUCAGAAAACAGAACGUGGCUUAGACAUGAAUUUCCUCUUUGAAAUAACUGAAGUGACAUCAGUGGAAUUAUACAGGAAUGAUUUUGGCACUGAUAUUGCUGCAGGACAUAGUGCUGAGUGCUUUGGCCUCAUACAGAGUGAGCUGUCUUCGCUGUGCAGGAGUUCAAAGCUUCUUUGGAGCUGCAAUAUCCUCCUCACCAUUUUAAGUUUUCCAGCGUCACAGCUACAAAGUGGUGUUACUGGAAGCAGCAGCAGGAUUUAAAAGCUCGCUUGUCUCACACCCAAUGCUGGUUACACAAACGACUUAAUCCCUCACCAACCUCUGGUGUAACAGAGGGCGAAAGCUUAGGAACUUCAAAGUUUGCAUUUCUUUUUCAAUGACAAACUGCAAUCAGAAAUCUGGAUCGUUCUACUUAUACAUAGUACUUUUUGUGGGUCCGGCUUCUCUCCAAAACACUCAUAGGACUUCUCCCCCAUUGUAGUACGUGAAUAACAGCCGCUGAACUCGACGCGAGGUUUUUGUAUCAUGUGGCUGAAAAGAAGAGCCCCUAUUUAUAGCAUUGAGACAUUGGCAGGUGCAAGACUAGGGAGAAACUUUAGUCUCACACAUCCCAAACGGUUGUUCGGGAGAGUUUUGUGCGUGGUUGAGGCUGCCGCGAGGUGGGCCACAAGAAUCAACAGCCGCGGCGGAGGCUGCUGUCUUGUUGAGAGCAAUCAGCUUCUGUCUCCUGGAGGGUGUGCGACGGAGAAGGGCCUGAUGGUGCUGAUUGCAGUCAUAUACUUAGCUAUGGCAGCUUUAGCUAUUAUUUAUAGAAGUGCUAAUUAUAUCAAUAGAAAUAGCAAUAUUAAUACUGUUAAGUGUCAGAAUCUACGCUUGACAGCAUGAACUAAACGCAGCUCCUGUGAAACGAAGCAGCCAGCUCGUCUCCCUUGUCAAACCACCAAGAUGCAUUUCAGGAAAGUACACACCCACCUUAAUUGCUUGGGGUCUCAACGUUUUUGCUCAUCUUGUUAUAUCACUAUCAUUUCAAGCUGGCAACGCUCAGGGCCGGCUGUUCUAAGGAAAUGCAGACCGUAUCCUCAGUCAGUCCAGAACACUCAAACUGUGACUGAAAUGUAGCAGUGGGUUCCAGUUUAAAGCUGUUGUUCUGCAAAGCUGGAAACUGAGAAGCCUUUAGAAGUUCAGAUGCUGACCCAAACUUGCUUGUUUUUUUCUUUGCGUCUGUGCUCCACCACUCCCUGUUUACAAACUAGCUGGUGAAAACUCACGUAGCUCUCAAUACCCACAGUUACGUGCAGACUACGUUAUAACCAGCCUUAAUUGGCAUCUUUUAAAGGGCAGAAAUCAUAUUACCAAAAAAAUAAACAAAACUAAAGGAAAACAAGAGCAUAUUGAGACUCAUUUUCUGGCUGCUUUUUUAACAUUUAAAAUGUGCUUGAUUUCCUGUCAUAGCUCUUGUUACUUCUGCCUGCCUCUUGUGACAGCGUUUUAGACUGACUUCCCACAGGAGCUUACAAAUCAAGCAGGUUAAUGUCUUCAUUAAAACUGAAUAACAGUUUACUUUGGGAAAAAAACAUAUUAAAUAUUUCAGGAUAUUGAACACCAAACUACUAUUAAGCUUUAACUAAUGCAUUUACUUUGCUGACACUUGCUCUCCGAUGGGACAUGUAGCUCAAGCUAAUGUCACUAGAAGUGAUGUUUAAGGCUUCAUGAGAAAGUGUUUCCAACCCCUUCUAGACAAUUUUACUCCAAUUCUAUCACUCUGUACUUGAGAAAAAGUUUUAAAUAAGUCAUUUCAGCAACUUGCCAUCCUUAUUUUGGAAAUGUACUGGGCAUAAAUGUCCCCUUUAAGGUCUUAAAUAACCAUUUCUGUGUCCUAGAUCUAUGUGGUACACUGUGUAAAGAAUGUGACGGCCUGUUGGCCUUUGGACACAUAGUGUCCUCAGUAUACUUUGCCCUUGGAAGCAAAAUAGAAAGACUGUCACAAACGGGGCAGGCUGGAGUUCUGUCACCCAUGGCUGUAAACCUUUCUCAAGGUGUGACUGAUGUGGUUAAAACAGACCAGUAGAAUAGAAAUAGAGGCACACAGCCAAUAAGUUAAGGCUUCCCAACUGGCAAGUGGUGGUAUUCUGUGUGGGCUGCUGUUGCUGAAGGUCUGUGUGCUUGUAUCUUUCUCCCUCUGUGCAGAAUCCAUUUGCAGUGACGUCAUGUGAAACACAGACAUCCCAUCAGUAGUAGGAAAGGGGGUUAUACGGGUUUCUAUUGCUCAUUACACUGCAAUUUCUGUUGGUGUAACUUGCUUUAGCAGACUUCUUUUUCUUUUUUUUUUUUCUCUCUCUUUUUUCUCUUUUGGUUUUUAAUAUAUGAUUUUGUUUUGACUCCUUUAUUUGCCAAUCCUGUGGUUUACUUAUCUGUUAUCAUCAGAGCCAUGUCAGACUGAGGUGCGUCAUUCUUUCUGGAUCCAACUGCAGCAGCAUCGGUUCAUGAAGCAAUCUGACAACAUUCUCUGGCAAAUUUAAACCAAUCCCUUUGAAGUUUGUUAAUUUAUAAAAUAAGUAAAUCAACAAAUAAAUCAAAACAAGUUUCAGUUCUGUGCAGAAAUAAUACCGAUGUUCUGGUUUGCUGUCUUCUAUCGCUGGUCUGUGAUAACCUUGGAACUUUCCUGACAUCUCUUUAAGCUCUGUGAACAGGUGAUCUGUGAGUAAAUCUCCCUGAGGAGUUGCAAAUUUUCUUGAAUUAUUUACAUCUACUGUAGGAAUUCUGUCUUGUAUCACAUACUGGGCUGAGUGCAUGGACAAUACAAAC